UGCGCAGGCGGCCUAUUAAGUUAGUGGUGAAAUUGCUCGGCUCAACCGGGUAUCCGCCAUUGAUACUGGUAGGCUUGAGUAUGUCAGAGGAAGUUGGAAUGCGUGGUGUAGCGGUGAAAUGCAUAGAUAUCACGCAGAACACCGAUUGCGAAGGCAGAUUUCUAUGGCAUUACUGACGCUCAGGCACGAAAGCGUGGGUAGCGAACAGGAUUAGAUACCCUGGUAGUCC
rnacentral:rRNA from 1 species